rnacentral:misc_RNA from 1 species
AGUGCAACGCUGUAGCCAUGCAG